UGGCACUGGAAUGGUGGAGAGAAGGAGCUGCUCUAAUCGGAGUAAGCUACUUUCUGGAUUUAUCCUGAACGAGAAGUGGAAUUACUGAAUUAAUGCCCAGGAAGUGAGUAUCCUGUGUUACAUGCUACAGUCCAGAAGUCCUUCAUAUAUGCUUCAACUUCUGGAUGUUGGUCCUUGUUCUGGAUUUUUUGAGGAGAUAGAGCCUUUUACUGUCCAGUACUUACUGUACACAGAGGUCUUGUUAUUCAGUACACUGGGAUCUAGAGGACACUGAAAGCUGCCAGAAAUGCGUUGGUAAUGAUAGGAAAGCUACAUAAAAGGCUUUCACAAGCGGCUCUCCCAUCGUCAUUCAUGCUGAACAGUGGGGUGUAGAGAGGAGGCCAGAACAGAGAUAAUAAUUUACCAUGUAAUUUGUUUUGAGAUUCCUUUGAUAGAUUUCAAAACCGAAGCAUCCUGCAAGAGAACAGGGCCUUUAAAACCUCUAAGCCAAGCCAAUUCUGUGCUUGGUGGUGGGUUGUGUAGUGUGCUCAGCGGGAAGCUACCUUAACGAAUGGACACCCAAGGCACUGACCGUUCUCACUGGGGACCCUCUAUUUAUUUAAUGGCUUUUAAACAUUGCUUCUAUUCCUUUUCCUCCUACAAUGACUCUCAUACCCGAUGCUGUAAAUUUGGGGAGAACAGAGUACAGUUCAGUGCAGGUUGAUGAAAACCAUUUGCAGCAAUCAAGAGGGGCAGGUAAUUUUCUGGACAGAUUUGUUUUGUAAAUGAGGUGUUCCAUUUGGGGAGCUGGGCCGGCAGCACACCUGGCUAACAGGUGUCCUGCUGCAGGACAGCUUGCUUUAAUUCCCCGCUAGUUAAGGGAUAUUUCUGCAGCCCACAAACUUUUGUUUUAAUGCCUUCAUGGAGGCAUAAAACAUAACAAAAAUUCAGGGAUUUUAUAUUCCGAACUUCAAAACUUUCAUCCAAAAGGGAAAAGGAUCAAAAGGAAAAGGUGGUGCGUUUCAUGUUCUCUUGUGGUUUUAAUACUUGUUAACUGACCUAUAAACUGAGUUUUCCAAGUAAAGAAACGUAGGGGAAUUUUAUUACAGAAAAAUCUCCUGCGAAUCAUCCCCAGCUGCUUUUAGAGAUAGGAGAGGCUAUUUUCACUCUUGCUUUCAAGGGUGAUAUAUGCAAUCUCUACACCUUUCCUUUGUUUCCAUACUAACAUUGUGCAUCCAUAGCCACACUGCUGUUUUUGUUUACUGUAUUUCUGAAUGUUUUUUCUCAUUUAGAGCAGCUGCUUUGGGCUUUCUUUUUCAGCUAAAGGAGAGAGAAUCACAGAAAAUCAAGUCGUCUUUGCUUGAUUGAUUUGUUUGGUGCAGUCCAGUUAAUAUCAUCUUGCUGCUUAUAAUUACCUUGCAUGUCCUUGGAUCCAAAGGGCUUUUUAAAACCUGGCUGUAAGUUUUGCACAGAUGACCUCGGAGCCUGUUGCUGUGUUAAUCAUAGGGUUGUACCUGGAAGUGGAAGUAGAGCCGCUGGGAAACUUCCAAAUCUGUAUUGCUGUGAAAAAAAUUACUAGAGUUUGGGAAAUGCCCCUUAGAAUGAUAAAAAUGAUGAACGCAUCGAGUGAGGAAAUACCUAGAGAGAAGGGGUCUGGAACCUUUUA